UGGGGAAUCUUGCACAAUGGGCGAAAGCCUGAUGCAGCAACGCCGCGUGCGGGAAGACAGCCCUAGGGUUGUAAACCGCUUUCAGCAGGGAAGAAACUGACGGUACCUGCAGAAGAAGAUGCGGCCAACUACGUGCCAGCAGCCGCGGUGACACGUAGGCAUCAAGCGUUAUCCGGAUUUAUUGGGCGUAAAGAGCUCGUAGGCGGUUCGGUAAGUCGGGUGUGAAAACUCUGGGCUCAACCCAGAGAGGCCACUCGAUACUGCUGUGACUAGAGUGCGGUAGGGGAGCGGGGAAUUCCUGGUGUAGCGGUGAAAUGCGCAGAUAUCAGGAGGAACACCAGUGGCGAAGGCGCUGCUCUGGGCUGUAACUGACGCUGAGGAGCGAAAGCAUGGGUAGCAAACAGGAUUAGAUACCCUGGUAGUCCAUGCCGUAAACGUUGGGCACUAGGUGUGGGUCUCAACCAACGAGAUCCGCGCCGUCGCUAACGCAUU
rnacentral:rRNA from 1 species